rnacentral:misc_RNA from 1 species
AGAGUAGAGAUGAGAGUCUAUUCUUUAAACAGGCUACAGAUACAUCAGUCAAAUAUUGUCAAACUGACAGCAAACAUUGUGCUUUAUAACAUCAAUGGCGUUCAUUUACACCUAGUAUGGGUUGUAACGGGGACGCCCUCGUCCACCACUGUCACCCCGCCUUCCGUCACUUGAACUGCCUCCACUACGUCCACCUCGUGAUGUUGGAGGAGGAGAAUGCAUAACUCCUGGUUGUUGCAGGACAUAUCCAAUCCUUCCAUCAG